GACGAACGCUGGCGGCGUGCUUAACACAUGCAAGUCGAACGAAUAGCGAUGGAAGCUUGCUUCUAUCAGUCUUAGCGGCGAACGUGUGAGUAACGCGUAAUCAACCUGCCCUUCAGAGGGGUACAACAGUUGGAAACGACUGCUAAUACCGCAUACGAUCUAAUCUCGGCGUCGAGGAUAGAUGAAAGGUGGCCUCUACAUGUAAGCUAUCACUCAAGGUGGGUAUUGCGUCUGAUUAGCUAGUUGGGGGGGUAACGGCCCACCAAGGCGAAGAUCAGUAGCCGGUCCGAGAGGAUGGACGGCCAAAAUGGGAACGGGACAAGGCACAGAAUCCUAAGGGAGGGAGCAGGGGGGAAUCUUCCGACAUGGAGGAAAGGCUGACGGAGGCACGCCGCGUGAGCGAUGAAGGCCUUCGGGUUGUAAAGCUCUGUUAAUCGGGAAGAAAGGCCUUUUUGCGAAUAGUGAGAAGGAUUGACGGUACCGGAAGAGAAAGCCACGGCUAACUACGUG
rnacentral:rRNA from 1 species